AAACCACCACAGCAGGUCCCAACCUGUAAGGACCUGGAGAGGAGGCUGGGCAUUCUCUGUGAGGAUCUGCAUGGUUUUCAGCAGGGAGCACCUCAGCUUCCCACUUUUCCCUCUGCUGCUGGGCCUGGCUCCCUCCCUCCUCCUCCCUCCUCUUCCCUCCCGACCCCCAUCCCCUUUCUUCUCAACCCCCCCUCCCUUUUGUGGUGUGGGGAACCAAGGGCAUCAUGCAUUGUGCACAGAGCAGGCAGGUGCUCCUGAGCUAGGCUCCUUCCAGACCUGCCUGUGUCCUGAACAGAGGCUCAGUGAUGAGCAGAGGCAGUGACCUGGGCCCGAGGGCUUGCCUAAACGGACUCUGUGCUGAUACCCUUACUUUCAGCAUCCAGUCCUGCUCCUCAGCUCAUGCUAACCAACUUGGCUCAUGGUUUCAGGUUUUGUUUAAAAAAAUAAAUAAAUGCAAGGCUGAGUAUGUCGGCUCAUA
rnacentral:lncRNA from 1 species